AAGAAAUUGUCGCAAAUUUGUCGUUUUAAUUGCUUGUGUGGGCCUUAAAGUCAUUCAUAUCGAAGGAUAGACCUCUUAAGAUGGACAAAAAAGGAUAAGACCUGCCCCUGGACAAGAAAGAAAAAAUGGAAAAAGAGGUGUAUUCUAGCAAAGAUGAGGAUGAUAGUGAUACUGAUAGCGAGGGAACUUUUGUGUUCGAAAAGAUUG